GAAAUUGAGUUCGCACUGCUACUACCUCAGCAACUGCUUUCGCCUCCUGAAUAAUACUUUCCCACGAUUUUUCAUGUACUCCGGCAUUUUUGAUAUACUUUUCUAAUGUAGGGUUUCCUAUAGGAAAUUUUCCAACUAAAAUAAUGGCGGUUGUUGCAGGCCUCAAUUUUCUUGCAAAAAGCCGGAAAUUACGUCUUUUUGAAAA